rnacentral:rRNA from 1 species
AUUGAACGCUGGCGGCAUGCCUUACACAUGCAAGUCGAACGGCAGCGCGGACUUCGGUCUGGCGGCGAGUGGCGAACGGGUGAGUAAUACAUCGGAACGUACCCUGUUGUGGGGGAUAACUAGUCGAAAGAUUAGCUAAUACCGCAUACGACCUGAGGGUGAAAGUGGGGGACCGCAAGGCCUCACGCAGCAGGAGCGGCCGAUGUCUGAUUAGCUAGUUGGUGGGGUAAAGGCCCACCAAGGCGACGAUCAGUAGCUGGUCUGAGAGGACGAUCAGCCACACUGGGACGGAGACACGGCCCAGAUUCCUACGGGAGGCAGCAGUGGGGAAUUUUGGACAAUGGGGGCAACCCUGAUCCAGCAAUGCCGCGUGUGUGAAGAAGGCCUUCGGGUUGUAAAGCACUUUUGUCCGGAAAGAAAUCGCGCUGGUUAAUACCUGGCGUGGAUGACGGUACCGGAAGAAUAAGCACCGGCUAACUACGUGCCAGCCGCCACAGUAA